rnacentral:tRNA from 1 species
GGCAGAAUGGCUUUGUGGUUAAGGCACUGGGCUGAGAUUCAGGAGAUGAGGGUUCAAUUCCCAGCUUUGCCA